CCUACGGGUGGCAGCAGUAGGGAAUAUUGCUCAAUGGGGGAAACCCUGAAGCAGCCACGCCGCGUGGAGGAUGAAGGCCUUAGGGUUGUUAACUCCUUUUGUUAGAGAAGUUUAUGACGGUAUGUAACGAAUAAGCACCGGCCAACUCCGUGACAGCAGCCGCGGUAAUAUGGAGGGUGCAAGCGUUACUCGGAAUCACUGGGCGUAAAGAGUGUGUAGGCGGGGUAAUAAGUCAGUUGGGAAAUCCUAUAGCUUAAAUACAGAACUGUAUUUGAAACUGUUACUCUGGAGUAUGGGAGAGGUAGGUGGAAUACGUGGUGUAGCGGUAAAAUCCGUAGAUAUCAAGAGGAAUACUCAUAGCGAAGGCGACCUGCUGGAACAUGACUGACGCUGAUGCACGAAAGCGUGGGUAGCAAACAGGAUUAGAUACCCGAGUAGUC
rnacentral:rRNA from 1 species